UUUGUUUGGAGCACCAUUUUGCAUGUUGAGCAACGUUGAGCACUUUUUAGCACUUUGGGCAACAUUUGAGCAAUAUUUCACAUUUCGAGCGAAUUUUGAGCAACAAAAAGUUAGCGAUUAUAGAAUUCGAUUCGUACUUCGAUUAACUAAACAUACAGUUCGGAGUAAGGUUUAAAAAUUGACGGGUAUUAUACUAUUAUUUAUAUAUAAUU